UACGUAUGUCACAAGCGUUAUCCGGAUUUAUUGGGCGUAAAGCGCGUCUAGGCGGUUAAUUAAGUCUGAUGUGAAAAUGCGGAGCUCAACUCCGUAUUGCGUUGGAAACUGGUUAACUAGAGUACUGGAGAGGUAAGCGGAACUACAAGUGUAGAGGUGAAAUUCGUAGAUAUUUGUAGGAAUGCCGAUGGGGAAGCCAGCUUACUGGACAGAUACUUACGCUAAAGCGCGAAAGCGUGGGUAGCAAACAGG
rnacentral:rRNA from 1 species